AUGGGGACGAGUGAUGGACGGUGGAGGGAGGAGAGAGGAGGAAGGAGUCCUAGUUCACCGGCAUCGGCGCCGCCGGACGGCCGAACCUGCCCCAUCCCUCACGGAUACCAGAUUGAGGAGGCAUGGGACGACCUGACCUCCACCAUAGGGGGCAAAGGGAGGGAGGAGCCGAGGAGGGAGGUAGGAGUAAGGAGGAGAAGGGCCGGUGCACCGGUGCCGAAGCUGUCGGACCGCCGGCCGACCACCGCCAUGGGAUGGGGGAGGACAGAGGGAGGAGGGAGGAGGGAGGAAGGAGAAAGGAAGGAAAACUAUACCUGCCGGAUGUGGAGUGUCGCUGGAGUGAGCCGCGGAGGCAGGGGCGGCGGCUGGCAGCCGGCGGAGGCGGCGGCGGCGGCCAAACCCUAG
rnacentral:rRNA from 1 species